UCUCCUUAAGCAACAUUCCUAUUCCC
rnacentral:piRNA from 1 species